rnacentral:lncRNA from 1 species
UUUCAGUUUGCCCGGAUGGUGGUGAGCAGGGUCCACAGGCCCUCUGCCUUCACCCUUACGGAUGAGGAUCCCAACUGUGAGUGACAGCGGCACCACACAGAGGGUCCCGCCCCCACCCAGUCUGUCCAGAGCCAGAAGCAGCUCGAACUCAAGCAGGGACCCUGCAGCCACAGGGGCCCCUCUCUCCUGGGAGAGGACAGCACAGGACAGGAGAGGGCCCCUCGCAUGGCCCCACUGAGGACAGUCAUCAGGUCCUCAGCGCUCGUCUGAGUCAGGCUGCACCUCAUGUGGACGCACCGUUUCGGACUCUCCGGACUCUUUUGCUCAGCUUCCUGGGGAGCUCUGAGACUCGAACCCGUUUCCGUGUCUCCAUUCUG